rnacentral:rRNA from 1 species
GAGAGUUUGAUCCUGGCUCAGGACGAACGCUGGCGGCGUGCCUAAUACAUGCAAGUCGAGCGAGCUGAAUUCAAAGAUUCCAACGGGAUGAUUUGUUGGACGCUAGCGGCGGAUGGGUGAGUAACACGUGGGCAAUCUGCGGAAAAGACUGGGAUACCACUUGGAAACAGGUGCUAAUACCGGAUAACAACAUGAAUCGCAUGAUUCAAGUAAGAAAGGCGGCGUAAGCUGUCACUUUAGGAUGAGCCCGCGGCGCAUUAGCUAGUUGGUGGGGUUUUGGCCUACCAAGGCAAUGAUGCGUAGCCGAGUUGAGAGACUGAUCGGCCACAUUGGGACUGAGACACGGCCCAAACUCCUACGGGAGGCAGCAGUAGGGAAUCUUCCACAAUCCACGCAAGUCUGAUGGAGCAACGCCGCGUGAGUGAAGAAGGAAAACGGAUCGUAAAGCUCUGUUGUUGGUGAAGAAGGAUAGAGGCAGUAACUGGUCUUUAUUUGACGGUAAUCAACCAGAAAGUCACGGCUAACUACGUGCCAGCAGCCGCGGUAAUACGUAGGUGGCAAGCGUUGUCCGGAUUUAUUGGGCGUAAAGCGAGCGCAGGCGGAAUGAUAAGUCUGAUGUGAAAGCCCACGGCUCAACCGUGGAACUGCAUCGGAAACUGUCAUUCUUGAGUGCAGAAGAGGAGAGUGGAAUUCCAUGUGUAGCGGUGUAAUGCGUAGAUAUAUGGAAGAACACCAGUGGCGAAGGCGGCUCUCUGGUCUGCAACUGACGCUGAGGCUCGAAAGCAUGGGUAGCGAACAGGAUUAGAUACCCUGGUAGUCCAUGCCGUAAACGAUGAGCGCUAGGUGUUGGGGACUUUCCGGUCCUCAGUGCCGCAGCAAACGCAUUAAGCGCUCCGCCUGGGGAGUACGACCGCAAGGUUGAAACUCAAAGGAAUUGACGGGGGCCCGCACAAGCGGUGGAGCAUGUGGUUUAAUUCGAAGCAACGCGAAGAACCUUACCAGGUCUUGACAUCCUGUGCUACACCUAGACAUAGGUGGUUCCCUUCGGGGACGCAGAGACAGGUGGUGCAUGGCUGUCGUCAGCACGUGUCGUGAGAUGUUGGGUUAAGUCCCGCAACGAGCGCAACCCUUGUCAAAAGUUGCCAUCAUUAAGUUGGGCACUCUAAAGAGACUGCCGGUGACAAACCGGAGGAAGGUGGGGAUGACGUCAAGUCAUCAUGCCCCAAAUGACCUGGGCUACACACGUGCUACAAUGGGCAGUACAACGAGAAGCGAAGGGCCG